rnacentral:rRNA from 1 species
GAUGAACGCUGGCGGCGUGCCUAAUACAUGCAAGUCGAGCGAACAGACGCGGAGCUUGCUCCUCUGACGUUAGCGGCGGACGGGUGAGUAACACGUGGAUAACCUACCUAUAAGACUGGGAUAACUUCGGGAAACCGGAGCUAAUACCGGAUAAUAUAUUGAACCGCAUGGUUCAAUAGUGAAAGACGGUUUUGCUGUCACUUAUAGAUGGAUCCGCGCCGCAUUAGCUAGUUGGUAAGGUAACGGCUUACCAAGGCAACGAUGCGUAGCCGACCUGAGAGGGUGAUCGGCCACACUGGAACUGAGACACGGUCCAGACUCCUACGGGAGGCAGCAGUAGGGAAUCUUACGCAAUGGGCGAAAGCCUGACGGUGCAACGCCGCGUGAGUGAUGAAGGGCUUCGGAUCGUAAAACUCUGCUAUUAGGGAAGAACAAAUGUGUAAGUAACUAUGCACGUCUUGACGGUACCUAAUCAGAAAGCCACGGCUAACUACGUG